AUUGAACGCUGGCGGCAUGCCUUACACAUGCAAGUCGAACGGUAACAGGUCUUCGGAUGCUGACGAGUGGCGAACGGGUGAGUAAUACAUCGGAACGUGCCUAGUAGUGGGGGAUAACUACUCGAAAGAGUGGCUAAUACCGCAGAGAUCUACGGAUGAAAGCAGGGGAUCGCAAGACCUUGUGCUACUAGAGCGGCCGAUGGCAGAGUCGGUAGUUGGUGGGAUAAAAGCUUACCAAGCCGACGAUCUGUAGCUGGUCUGAGAGGACGAUCAGCCACACUGGGACUGAGACACGGCCCAGACUCCUACGGGAGGCAGCAGUGGGGAAUUUUGGACAAUGGGCGAAAGCCUGAUCCAGCAAUGCCGCGUGCAGGAUGAAGGCCUUCGGGUUGUAAACUGCUUUUGUACGGAACGAAAAGCCCCGGGUUAAUACCCUGGGGUCAUGACGGUACCGUAAGAAUAAGCACCGGCUAACUACGUGCCAGCCGCCGCCGUAA
rnacentral:rRNA from 1 species